rnacentral:rRNA from 1 species
ACACGUAGGGCGCAAGCGUUGUCCGGAUUUAUUGGGCGUAAAGGGCUCGUAGGCGGUUUCGUAAGUCGGGUGUGAAAACUCAGGGCUCAACCCUGAGACGCCACUCGAUACUGCGAUGACUUGAGUCCGGUAGGGGAGCAGGGAAUUCCUGGUGUAGCGGUGAAAUGCGCAGAUAUCAGGAGGAACACCAUUAGCGAAGGCGCUGCUCUGGGCCGGUACUGACGCUGAGGAGCGAAAGCAUGGGGAGCAAACAGGAUUAGAUACCCUUGUAGUCC